rnacentral:rRNA from 1 species
UACGUAGGGUGCAAGCGUUAAUCGGAAUUACUGGGCGUAAAGCGUGCGCAGGCGGUUAUGCAAGACAGAGGUGAAAUCCCCGGGCUCAACCUGGGAACUGCCUUUGUGACUGCAUAGCUAGAGUACGGUAGAGGGGGAUGGAAUUCCGCGUGUAGCAGUGAAAUGCGUAGAUAUGCGGAGGAACACCGAUGGCGAAGGCAAUCCCCUGGACCUGUACUGACGCUGAUGUGCGAAAGCGUGGGGAGCAAACAGG